AAGUCGUAACAAGGUUUCCGUAGGUGAACCUGCGGAAGGAUCAUUAACACUAUUUUACAAAACAACUAAAGAGUUUUGAACUUGAGCAAUCUCGUUUUUUUAACUCUUUUUUUGUUUUUUCCAAACCAAAUACCCAAACUUUUGAAAGUGCUGGUUGAUUUACCAUGUUUUCAUGUGUAAAUCACUUUUUCACUUUUCUUUUCUUUUAUUAACCCCAAACUCUUUCAUUGCUAAUGCAAAUGACAAUAACAAAAAACUAAAUAACUACUUUAACGUAACCAAACAACUCUUAGCAACGGAUAUCUUGGUUCUGGCAUCGAUGAAGAGC
rnacentral:misc_RNA from 1 species